UACGGAGGGGGCUAGCGUUGUUCGGAAUUACUGGGCGUAAAGCGCGCGUAGGCGGCUUUGCAAGUUAGAGGUGAAAGCCUGGAGCUUAACCCCAGAACUGCCUUUAAAACUGCAUCGCUAGAAUCGUGGAGAGGUGAGUGGAAUUCCGAGUGUAGAGGUGAAAUUCGUAGAUAUUCGGAAGAACACCAGUGGCGAAGGCGACUCACUGGACACGUAUUGACGCUGAGGUGCGAAAGCGUGGGGAGCAAACAGG
rnacentral:rRNA from 1 species